rnacentral:rRNA from 1 species
CAGUCGCCACGGUAAAACGGAGGGGGCUAGCGUUGUUCGGAAUUACUGGGCGUAAAGCGCACGUAGGCGGCUUGGUAAGUUAGAGGUGAAAGCCCGGAGCUCAACUCCGGAAUUGCCUUUAAGACUGCCGAGCUAGCAGGUGAGAGAGGUAAGUGGAAUUCCGAGUGUAGAGGUGAAAUUCGUAGAUAUUCGGAAGAACACCAGUGGCGAAGGCGGCUUACUGGCUCAUACUGGACGCUGAGGUGCGAAAGCAUGGGGAGCAAACAGGAUUAGAGACCCCCGUAGUCCCUGUCUCUUGUAC